rnacentral:rRNA from 1 species
CAGCAGUGAGGAAUCUUCCACAAUGGGCGAAAGCCUGAUGGAGCAACGCCGCGUGAAGGAUGAAGGCCUUCGGGUUGUAAACUUCUUUUAUGAGUGAAGAAUAUGACGGUAACUCAUGAAUAAGCACCGGCUAACUACGUGCCAGCAGCCGCGGUCAUACGUAGGGUGCAAGCAUUAUCCGGAGUGACUGGGCGUAAAGAGUUGCGUAGGCGGUUUAAUAAGUGAAUAGUGAAACCUGGUGGCUCAACCAUACAGACUAUUAUUCAAACUGUUAAACUCGAGAAUGGUAGAGGUAACUGGAAUUUCUAGUGUAGGAGUGAAAUCCGUAGAUAUUAGAAGGAACACCGAUGGCGUAGGCAGGUUACUGGGCCAUUUCUGACGCUAAGGCACGAAAGCGUGGGGAGCGAACCGGAUUAGAUACCCGGGUAGUCCACGCCGUAAACGAUGGAUACUAGCUGUUGGAGGUAUCGACCCCUUCAGUAGCGAAGCUAACGCGUUAAGUAUCCCGCCUGUGGAGUACGGCCGCAAGGCUAAAACAUAAAGGAAUUGACGGGGACCCGCACAAGCGGUGGAUUAUGUUCUUUAAUUCGAUGAUAACCGAAGAACCUUACCAGGGCUUGACAUCCAGGGAAGGUCUGCGAAAGUAGACUGUGCCUUUUGGAACCCUGUGACAGGUGAUGCAUGGCCGUCGUCAGCUCGUGUCGUGAGAUGUUAGGUUAAGUCCUUCAACGAGCGCAACCCUUGUGAAUAGUUGUAUUUUUCUAUUCAGACUGCCCCGGUAACGGGGAGGAAGGAGGGGAUGAUGUCAGGUCAGUAUUUCCCUUACGCCUUGGGCUAGAAUCGCGCUACAAUGGCCGGUACAAUGCGAAGCGAAGCAGUGAUGUGAAGCAAAUCGCACCAAAGCCGGUCCCAGUUCGGAUAAAAGGCUGAAACUCGCCUUUUUGAAGUCGGAAUCGCUAGUAAUCGCAGAUCAGCAUGUUGCGGUGAAUACGUUCCCGGGUCUUGUACACACCGCCCGUCAAACCAUGAGAGUCACCAACACCCGAAGUCCGCCUCGGCGGCCUAAGGUGGGGGAGAUGAUUGGGGUUAAGUCGUAACAAGGCAUCGGUACGAGAACGUGUCGAUG